CAAAAACAGACGCCGGAGUUCCUUUCUUGCGCCGAGGGCACAGCACAGCACUCGGUUCCUUUCCCUGUGGUGUGGUUUGACCCACCACCGGCCCUCUUUAUCCGCUUCCUUUGAUCGCUUUAGUUCCUCUUUACACCCCCUAAAACACUCUCGAACUCAGGCCUGCUAGGACGCACUUUUCUUUUGCUGCCAUGAACAUACGAGGCUUUCCGGUGGGUUUAGAUCUCGGAUCAACUCUGCCAUUACUUUAGACUCUCUGUGCU
rnacentral:lncRNA from 1 species